ensembl:lncRNA
ACAGCUUUCAGUACUUUAGUAAGUAUAAAUCACAGAUUUGAGAAUAAUCAUAAAGUUGAAUCAAUGACUGUUUGAUUUAAAAAAUAACUGAAUACUAUACUCUUCAUAAAUGCAGCACUGUUAUAUCAGACUGCAUUGAUUUUUAGCAGGUGAAAAACUUGAUACCACUCUCAUAUCUGUAGGAAUGUAGAGCCAACAGCAGGUUAGCUUAGCACAAAUAAACAGGAGGAAAGAGCUCAUGUGAACAGUUUCUCUGAAGGUAAAAACCACCUACCAGCACCUCUAAAAGCUCAACAAUUACCAUUUUGUGUUGGUGAAAUCUGUACAAACCCUACAAAUAACAGGUUGUGGCAUUACUGGGGGAGGGGGAUUCGUAUAUGAGAGUGGUAUCGCUCUAACUCUAACAGCGUAUUUCCCAAAGUGUCAAACUGCUCGUUUUAUGUUCAUCACUUACUGCUUAGUUUCUUUUUUUGAUUCCACGGGUUUUAGAUGUUACGUUUUAACUUCCUCUCAACACAUGCAGUACUGUUCUUUGUAUGGGUCCAGAAACAUUUUAUAACAUUGGAACAGGCUUUUUCACAUUGGUUUCAAGUGAAAGGGAUUUGAUAUAACAUUCCCACCAAAUCGUAGGUCCUGAUGAUUCAUCUUGGAUUAAUCCUGACCCCUUUUCUAACGAAUUCCAUUUAAGUCCUACUUUGAUUUCUUAGUACAAACAAUGCUAAUUUUAGGAUUUGUUGUUCAGUGUGGGUAUUUCUGAAAUUCCAAAGAAACAAAAAUAAUUCCAAGUGUUUACCAGAUAAAUAUUGCCUUUAAGUUUUUGCCCUCUUUUCACUCUUCUGAUUAAAAUACAGGAUCUGGUUAAUGGAUUUGGGGAUAUUUUACCUGCUCUAUAUGCCUGAGUCAACAACAUCAUCAAAACCUGAAUAGACUUUAGUUGAUCUUUGAGUCCGUGCACUCUGGCCCUCUGUUUACACACCAUCUCCUCACCUUUUUUUUAAAUGUUUUUUUUGCCUGAUAAUUGUAAUUAUAAAAACUCGUCCAUUUCUAUGCUACAUUGGUAGCACUACAGAUUUUAUAACAGUGUACAUGUGUACAUAUUGCAUAAAUACGAAGAAUAAAGUUGGAAAC